rnacentral:SRP_RNA from 1 species
GCCGGGCAUGGUGGCUCAUGUCUGUAAUCCCAGCACUUUGGGAGGCCGAGGCAGGUGGGUCACCUGAGGUCAGGAGUUCGAGAACAGCCUGGCCAACAUGGUGAAACCCUGUCUCUA